CGCCUCUGUGCACGGGAUGGCUACUUCAAAAGUCCCCAUCCUGAACCUCUCCUCUCUUUCUUUAACCUUUCAUAUGGCAAAGGUAAUCCAACCUGAUUGUUGUAAAUCCAAAAGAGGCGGCUGUCCCGACUGUGGUUUGGCAUGGUUAGGCCUUGAGGUAGAUGUGGCCCCCCUUCCUCUUCCUCUGCCCACAGCAGUUGAUGGUGGUGGAGAAAGUUUAGAUGCAAGCUGCUCAUUUUUGCUGGAAGCAAAUAUAGAUCCAAGAUCUGUUGAUUUCUUAUCAUUAUAUGAGUCCAAACUAGACAUAACUUGAUUCUGUUUCAUGAAACGGAUUGAAUUCAGAGGAUUAUGGCCACUAUUCAAACUAACCACAUUCAUUGUAGAAGUCACUUGUUUUGGUCUCAAUGGCUCAAAUGAAUUUUGAUUGUUGAAUGCCCCGCUACUAUGUCCAUUGGCUUGGAAGUUGAUACUGUUGGCAGAGCUUGCAUUCAGACUGGUACCAUAAUUGUUUGCCAAUGAUCCCAAAGAUCCAUUAUUAGAAGUUCCAGAUGCACUGGA
rnacentral:misc_RNA from 1 species